rnacentral:rRNA from 1 species
UACGUAGGGUGCGAGCGUUGUCCGGAAUUACUGGGCGUAAAGAGCUUGUAGGUGGUUUGUCGCGUUGUUCGUGAAAUCUCACGGCUUAACUGUGAGCGUGCGGGCGAUACGGGCAGACUAGAGUACUGCAGGGGAGACUGGAAUUCCUGGUGUAGCGGUGGAAUGCGCAGAUAUCAGGAGGAACACCGAUGGCGAAGGCAGGUCUCUGGGCCACUACUGACGCUGAGGAGCGAAAGCAUGGGGAGCGAACAGG